rnacentral:rRNA from 1 species
UUUAAUAAAAAUUAAAAACGACGGGCAAUAUGAAUAUAUUUUUAAUAAAAUUUAAAUAUAAUAUAUAUUAUAUUUUAAUUUUAAAUCCAAUUUCAUUUUUAUCUUACAACAAAAAAUUCAUAAAUCUAAAAAUAAUGUAUUUAAUUUUAAAUUUAAUUAUAAAAUAUAUUAUGAUUUGAAUUUUUUUUUUCAAUAAAAAUAAAUUUUAUUAAUAUUAUUCUUAAAUUAAUUUAACAACAAUAUAUAAUUAAUAAAACUAAAUAUAUUAUAUUGUGGAUUAUCAAUUAAUAAACAAAAUCCUCUAAUUUUAAAAAAUACUACCAAAUUAUUUAAUUUUUUAUUUAUACAAUAUAAUUAUUAAUAAAUUAUUUUAUAAUUAUUAUAAUA